rnacentral:rRNA from 1 species
CCUACGGGCGGCAGCAGUGAGGAAUAUUGGUCAAUGGACGAGAGUCUGAACCAGCCAAGUCGCGUGAAGGAUGACUGCCCUAUGGGUUGUAAACUUCUUUUGUAUGGGAGUAAAAGUGGGUAUGCAUACCCUCCUGUAUGUACCAUAUGAAUAAGGAUCGGCUAACUCCGUGCCAGCAGCCGCGGUAAUACGGAGGAUUCGAGCGUUAUCCGGAUUUAUUGGGUUUAAAGGGAGCGUAGGUGGAUUGUUAAGUCAGUUGUGAAAGUUUGCGGCGCAACCGUAGAAUUGCAGUUGAAACUGGCAGUCUUGAGUGCAGUAGAGGUGGGCGGAAUGCGUGGUGUAGCGGUGAAAUGCUUAGAUAUCACGCAGAACUCCGAUUGCGAAGGCAGCUCACCGGACUGCUACUGACACUGAGGCACGAAAGUGUGGGUAUCAAACAGGAUUAGAUACCCGAGUAGUC